rnacentral:tRNA from 2 species
GCCUCCUUAGCUCAGUCGGUAGAGCGAAUCCCUCGUAAAGAUUAGGUCGCCGGUUCGAUUCCGGCAGGAGGCU